GGAGACACAGGAAAGGUGUGUGUUUGGGCAGGGGGGGGUGCUGAGAUUCGUCUUACCUGCUGUAAAGGGUAAGUUUCUGUUUGCAGUUGAGACACUUAUAUUUGCUGUCCCAUGUAGGUUGCUCUGUGUGUGUGAGGUGUGCAAACUCUCACAGUAGUUUCAGGGUUUGAUUCAGUAGAACAUACACAGGUAUUUAGUGCCAUUUUAAGCUGUGGACAACUCCCUGAGGCUGGCAGAUGUGGUACUGGAUUUGCAGGAAAUCCCCAGUCAGCAGCUGGAGGUGGACAGUGUACAGCAUCAGUAACACAUGCAUCAGCACGAGGGGCAGCUGCUGAAGAACCACUCCUGCAGAAGACAUUUCGUCAUUGGGUAUCCACAAUACUCUGA
rnacentral:lncRNA from 1 species